GCCUAACUGUAACACAACAAUUAAAUUACGAAUUGUUCGCCAAAUAACUACGAGUAAAAACUUAAAAUUUAAAAGACUUGACGGUGCUUCACAACGACCUAGAGGAGCCUGUCUAAUAACCGAUACUCCACGAUUAACCCAACCCACCCUGGCCCCACAGUCUAUAUACCGCCGUCGCCAGCCUACCUUAUGAAAGAAACAAAGUAAGCUAAAUAGUGCACACUAACAAGACAGGUCGAGGUGUAACUCAUGGGUGGGACAAGAUGGGCUACAUUUUCUAAUAUAGAAAAUACGAAUAAACUAUGAAAAGAGAAACUGAAGGCGGAUUUAGCAGUAAACUAGGAAUAAACACACCUAGUCGAAAUCAACGCAAUGAAGCGCGU
rnacentral:rRNA from 1 species